rnacentral:rRNA from 1 species
UACGGGGGGGCAAGCGUUGUUCGGAAUUACUGGGCGUAAAGGGCUCGUAGGCGGCCAACUCAGUCGGACGUGAAAUCCCUCGGCUUAACCGGGGAACUGCGUCCGAUACUGGAUGGCUGGAGGUUGGGAGAGGGAUGCGGAAUUCCAGGUGUAGCGGUGAAAUGCGUAGAUAUCUGGAGGAACACCGGUGGUGAAGGCGGCAUCCUGGACCAAUUCUGACGCUGAGGAGCGAAAGCCAGGGGAGCAAACGGG